UACGUAGGUGACAAGCGUUGUCCGGAUUUACUGGGCGUAAAGAGCGCGCAGGCGGUCGUUCAAGUCGAGUGUGAAAGCCCCCGGCUCAACUGGGGAGGGUCAUUCGAUACUGAUCGACUCGAAGGCAGGAGAGGGAAGUGGAAUUCCCGGUGUAGUGGUGAAAUGCGUAGAUAUCGGGAGGAACACCAGUGGCGAAGGCGACUUCCUGGCCUGUUCUUGACGCUGAGGCACGAAAGCGUGGGGAGCAAACAGG
rnacentral:rRNA from 1 species